rnacentral:piRNA from 9 species
AUUGGUGGUUCAGUGGUAGAAUUCUCG